UUAACCUCACUAUCCUCUGGGGACUUAGAUAUCAAGAAUUGAACACAUACAGAACGCCUAAGACUCGAAUAUGGGUUCCAACCGUUGCCGAAAACAAUGAGUCAACAAUUUUGGUUUUAAACAAACACAAGUGUUGUGUUGAUACACAGUACACGAAACAAUUACACACAUAAAGCAAGACUUUGAGAGUUGUGGUAACACACAUUUAGGACCUCUGGAAAACUUAUGACGAAAUUCGUUAAAGGUCCUCACGUAGGAACUGUGAUUAUUAACUCGCGCAAACGCCAUUAUAUUAUGUCGUCUAUGCUAUCUUACUUACCUGAGCAGGUAACCUACGCGGACUGAAAUGGUAGUGCACGAGAAUAAAUGAAACUCAAAUUAUACGUCGACGGAUGUCGGAGCAAAUCACAUUCUACGCGGAACGAAACACUAGUGCACAAGUAUACGCGAAACUUAAGCCAUACGUCAGCGGACGUCAGAGUACAUCACACACGACUUUCGAGGCAAGGCCUCGGGGAAAACACAAAUAGACACGACAACAAUGAUGCUAAUUUCGUCAGUGGGAGAACUACUGAUCGAAAAGCAGCAAUAUGCCACGUGAUCCUGCAAACGACAUGAAACACGCUGAGGUACGUUUAAACAAGAUUUCACAAUGGUCGAUACUUAGUCUGAAGAGACUCACAAUUGUUGGCGCUGCAAAAGAAGUCACACGUCUUCGCAUCUCCUCUAUUUCAUUUAUGGCGAUUACGCUAUGUUCGACAUUCCAUGGUAAUGUCAACUAACAAACGGUUAUCACGUGGAAUUCCAGGUAAAGUCCUUAAAUUUCUUUUGUUGAAAUUCUGACUUUUGCAUAUAGUGAGUAGAUUUUCGUAUUUCUACUCCCCCUAAUGGUCAUUGCACCAUGAAGAUUUUAUUUCAUGAUAGCGAACACUCAAUUGUUUCAUUUUUUUUUUUUUGACAAAUUCAUCUGAUACGCAUGCAUUGUUUGUUGCGCAUGUGGUUUCACUCCAAAUUGAUGCUUUAUCAAAGUCCAAAUAUUCUUUCACUAUACUUGAGCGUUGCAUUGUGAUCUAGAUGACCCGCCUUAUUGCAAUGUGUUGACUCUUUGAUAUCGAGUCGACGGAUUUCUUGGAAAACUCAUUUUCUUUUGAGUGGUAUACAUGGUUUUUCGUUGUAACCAUGUCGAAAUCUCUUGUUAACACAUGCAUUUAUCGUUGGAAUGUGACUAAACCAAGUUUAAUUGUUGAACUUGCUCGAAAUAUAUAUUCGAUUCAAGAUUCCAUAUGAUGGAUUGAGGCCAUCAUAUUCGAAAUAAUCCCAACAAGCACUUCAUUUGCUUUGAACCAUAACAUGCUUGUUUGGUCUUCGACUUCAUUGUAUCGUUUCUUUGAUCACGAUCACCUUGUGGUGGCGUCUUUCACAAGUCUAAAGCUUGCGCUAAUCUCGUUGCUCAUAUUAUGUACGGAUUUAAUCAUUUAUUUAUUUGUUUAUUGAUAUUAAAUCCGCUUUGUUGAUUUAUCAUAUUAAAGCAAUCUUUACACAAUCGUGUGUUAAGAUAAUGGUACACAAAUUUAUGUCAUAUUUCGGUGUACCUCUUAACGGUUCUUUCAGCAUCGAUCAAACAUUUUGUAUAUUUAUUGCUCUUUCAUUUUCGAUCGAAAACGUUAUUUAUUUAUUUCAUUUUCAAUCGAAAAUCCUACGAGAUUUGUUUGAAACAAACAUUCAGAUUUACUUUGUUGAACCUUUUAUCUGAUUAAAACACGGUGAUGCUUGUUCGGUCACCGCUAUUGUUGAAUUAUUUCAUUCAUAACGACACCUUGUGGCGUCGGUAUAAACUUGUAGCCUUUGCUAAUCGUAAUCGAUUGUUUCAUGCAAAACCACAUAUGCUUUUCGAUUGACACAUCAUUUAAGUAGUCUUAAUGCAACUAUGUAUUACGACGAUGAUACACCAGGUUCGUUUGUAUUUCAUUCGGUGUAUCCUUUCAACUCAACAAUGUCAACACCUUGAUUUUAUCUUAUUUAUUUACUGGUUCGAUAGUUGACAAAUCAUUUUUAGGAUUCUAUUUAUUUGAGCUUGUUGAAUUCGAGUUUCAAUCAUACAACAACCAACGCAAGUAUCCGUUGGUAGUAAAUUCUCUUGUUUCAAAAAUUGAUUGCAUAUUGUGAACGUUCCAUUGGAAUUCUAUUGGUCGAAAUUCCUCUUUUGUUGAAUCCUGUAAACUUGGUCGCAUUGGUGAUAGUAUCACUACGCUUCGUUCACUUGACAUCGGUUUCUUGAACAAACUCAGUUGAACCGUUGGGUUUUUAUUGAUGCAAAAUGUCUUGACGUUCAUAUAAUUCGAAUAAGUCUGGAUUUGAUUACGCAGUCAUUCAUUUUGGUUUUAUUCGGACUUACCUAGGAGCAACACAACUCUAAGGAGGUAACAUAGACUAAAUUUCGAGGACGAAAUUUCUACAACAGGGGGAGAAUGUGACAACCGGUAAUUAACGGCUCCUAAUUAUGCGAUUAACAAACGUUUAAGGCGAUAAUAAGUAGUGUUAAGACACGAAUUAACUUAAUUAGGCUUGUGGAAUGCCUAGGAACGGUUGUCUGACUUUAAAGUGCGCGAACGGUGGUCUACGAAAAAAAACGUUGAAUAUUUAACGGUAACGAGCUGAAACCGUGCGAAAUACUGACAACACCCGACAAAUUAAAUUUUUUUUUAUGGUUCUAUUUUAUACGAGUGACUAGUGGGCAUAAUGAAGUUAGUGUUUUAUACAUCUAACAAAACUUAAUCCAUGCCAUACUUUUUGAUAGCUUGGUGAAAAACAAAUUCCAAUAAAGUGAGAAGCCAUCUCACGUUUUCUUUUGCCAUACCCAUUAUGGCAUAUGAAAUUGCAAUAUUAUACUAAUAUAAUAUGACCAUAUGUGUAAGUGUAUGUCACUUGAUUGAAACUUAUAAAUAUCAACUAAUACUGAUAUGAUCUUGUUGUACUACAUUUUGUAACUAUAGAUAUGAUAAAUUUUAUUUAUCAUUUAGUUACAUUAUAAAUAUAAAUAUAAAUACAUAUAGUUAGAGUGGGAUCAGAAGACUUUGCAAAAUAUAAUAAUAAUUUGUAGAUCUUCUAGAAAGGAUGUAAAAGACAAUUUGUUUAAAAAAAAUAUAACAAAAUAAUAGCAAUCCCAUGCCUUUUUCCUUUGGUCAGGCGACUGUAUUGACAGAAGUGGGAAUGAUGUGUUAAAUUACCAUCAUGGAAUGGUAUGGCCUGCAUUGAGUAAACUUCCACCACACUUUACCUAUAUUAUACGGAUGUUGGAGAUCAUUUUAGAUGGGUUUUUGGCUUUACAAUUCUCGACAGAUUCACUUCAGAUCUGUCCAGAAUUUUACACUACAUCAAUUGUUUUGUGAGUUAUUUUGAGAGCUUGAACAACCUAUUAACUAGUCUAAGUGCUAAGUCUGGUUAAUUAGGUGUUGUGGUUGUGUCGGGCGGCAAAGGUGGGGUGGUGGUGACGCAGUGACGUCCGAUCUCCCAUUGCCCCCCCCCCGGUUAUUCCGACGACGGCGGAGUUGUACGGCGGCGCUAAGGUUUUUCCGUCGAUGAUGAUGACGAUGAUACAAGAUGAUGAUGAUUACAAUGGUGAUGGGUUUUCCGUUUCGAGCUACGUCGCCGGUCGUAACGACUCCGGCAGCCGCGAAUCAAACACCUCCACUCCGGUGGUGGUAGUGGUGGUAGUGAUGAUGGCAGUGUUGGUGUUUAUGUUCAGUUCGUUUCAGUUUGAUUCGGGUCCGGGGAAGAUGUUACAGAUUCUCGUUUUGGCUUGAUUUUUGGUUCGGAUAGUAACGGGAUGGUGCUUGGUGACGGGUCCACGGCAAUAGCGAUGAUGGCGGUCGGUUAGGCUUGUGAUUAAGCGGGACAUAUUUAUGUCUCGGGUUCGCGGUCCAGGUUUCGGGUUUAGACGGGUUCGCUACGGAAUCGGGUUUGGAUCAGAAUUUGUCAAUAGCAGAUGUGUGUGGUUUCAGUUCGGGUCUCGUUUCGGGUUAACGGUCAACCACGGCCAGAUUUUGGGUCAACAAGUCAACGGUUCAGUCAACCGUGGUCAAAGUCAGAUUUGGGUUCGGUCAACACCGGGACAACUCAGUCAAUGCUGGUCAACUCGGGUCAACAGUCAACCUGAUCAGCCAGUCGAAACCAGCAAACACACGACGCGGAUUAGGAAUGCUAUAGUUGCACGCUAGCGAGUUCACGUUCUUGGAACAACAUCACGGAAUCACGUUAAGCUAGCUUUGCACAGGGAUGUCCAGGUUACAUUGUCAAAACUACAGAACGGUUGGAAUAGAAGAACCCACGGGAUUUCGAGUAAUUAGCGGGCGUUCAUUUUUUAGAAGUCUUAGCUUUUUGCUUCCGCUGUGCAAUGAAGAUACCGGUCCAGUCACGCCAGCUCUGAUAUUUCGGGGUGUGACACUAUACCUACUGAUUACCACGUUAUCUAG